CCCGCCAUAGCUCAGUGGCAGAGCGUCAGCCUGUAAAGGACAAAGAGGAAUGGUUGGGAUCCUUUGUCCACAGAACAGUUGAAGGUCGUGUGUUCGAUGCACACUGGUGGGA